rnacentral:rRNA from 1 species
CCUACGGGAGGCAGCAGUGAGGAAUAUUGGUCAAUGGACGAGAGUCUGAACCAGCCAAGUAGCGUGAAUGAUGACUGCCCUAUGGGUUGUAAACUUCUUUUAUAUGGGAAUAAAAUGUUCCACGUGUGGGAUUUUGUAUGUACCAUAUGAAUAAAGAUCGGCUAACUCCGUUCCAGCAGCCGCGGUAAUACGGAGGAUCCGAGCGUUAUCCGGAUUUAUUGGGUUUAAAGGGAACGUAGGUGGAUUGUUAAGUCAGUUGUGAAAGUUUGGGGCUCAACCGUAAAAUUGCAGUUGAAACUGGCAGUCUUGAGUACAGUAGAGGUGGGCGGAAUGCGUGGUGUAGCGGUGAAAUGCGUAGAUAUCACGAAGAAUUCCGAUUGCGAAGGCAGCUCACUGGACUGCAACUGACACUGAGGCGCGAAAGUGUGGGGAUCAAACAGGAUUAGAUACCCUUGUAGUC